rnacentral:tRNA from 1 species
GCCGGUUUAGCUCAAUUGGUAGAGCAACUGACUUGUAAUCAGUAGGUUGUCAGUUCGACUCCGACAGCCGGCA